UAGAGGCACUUCCAGUCAAAGAAGAAGUGCAGAUCCUCUGGGUAAGUCUUUACUUCUCAUGCCAUCUUCGUGUGCCUUGAUUUGAAGGAGUCACGAGACAGAGGAGAAGGAGGAAGACAAGAAAGGGACGCUGAAUAUAUUAAAUCUCCCUCCCAUCACAGGCGUCUGGGGCAGGUUUACUUUUGUUCCAGAAAAUGACAGAACAGGAAGCUCCAAGCUCUUGUUCCCCCCAGGGAGACAUCAAACAAAUAAAAACGGGGCUAAAUUAACCUUACAAGAACUCUGGAUAGAAGGCUUACACCAACUAAGUGAACAGCCCAUCAAGAAAAAGCCACGUCAUAAAGCUAAGAAGAAGCUCCAACAUGCAGUUGACAGACCAUGCUCUUAGAUUAAGGGAUACUUUCGUUCCCAGACAGAUAUGCCACUAACAGACUGUAUGAUCUCAGCCCAUGCUUACCUACAGGGAAAAAGAGGUUAGGAAGACCACCUACCCAAAAAAGACUCUUUUGCAAAGGGCUCGGGUGAGACACCACCCCUCCCCAUUGUAAUAAAAGAUUAACAGGAGAAAAACAAACAGAAGUUUAAUAACAUGUAUACCUCCUGUGUUCAUGGGAGAGACCCAGGAAAGAUGAAAAGGAAUUACUCCAUAUUGUGACAUGCUGCCUUGUGGCAGAUUAAAAACAAAAAACAAAACAACAGAGUUGGAUAAAACCUACAGUGGCUCUCAAUGCUUUUGUUUGGAAUUGACAUCCUGUCACAUCACUCACCAAGAGAAAGC